GUAAUUUGGGAGGUUGUUGUUCUCGAGACGUUCUGAUUUGUAUUUAAAAGCUGUGUUCUGGAGCGGGACCUGGGGAUGGCUGAGGGGCCGAAAGCGCUUGUGUGUCUAAUUAUUAAAGUGUGGGUGUCUCCCAGAACUGUGUUGGGGUGCUGUUAUCCAAUCUUAUCAACACCAUUUGCUGAACAUUUGAUCAACAUAGGUGACCACCCUAUAGCAGUACCACCUUAUUGUGUGUUUCCAGGAAAAGCCAGUUUUGAAGGAGGAGCUGGACAAGAUUCUUCAGAAAAAAAUAAAAUAAUUGAUAGUGGGAAUUAUGCUGGGCCAGAUCCAUUUGUCCUUUUAUCUAAAAAAGCCUAACAAAAUAUUAUAUGUUAAUUAUCCAUGACUCAAUGCAAUGAGUUAGUGAUUCCUAUCCAUAUGAAUGAUUUUUUUUUUUUUUAUGAAAUGAACAUUUAUGUCUAUAUUAGAUCAGAGCACCUGAUACUGUCAAGUGGGUGUGAAUGUUAAAGUUAGAUGAAAUCAUAUUCAUAAUACCAUUUGGAAUUUUUUUGUUAUAUAUGCUGUUUGAUCUCAGAUAUGUGCCUGUGACUUUUCAGAGACAGAUGGAAUAAUUUUGUUAUAGUUUAAGUUGAUACUUUCUAAAUUAAAAGAACAUAUCAGAAAUGUCAGAUGGACCUUAUGUGAUUGCCAAAUGCUUGUCAUUAAUUUUAUAUUAGAUUAAAAACAUCAAUGAUAGCCAACAUAUUGACAUUUAUCAUUUUAAGGAUACUAACUCCUUACAUUGUCAUAUCAAUUGAAGCUCUGGCAGUACGCUUCUGAAAAAGAUCAUUUAAGAAAUCUUCUCCCAUUUCAGAACAAAUUUUGGAAACAGGAAGAAUUGUAAUGCAAUAAAAGAGCGUAUCAUCACUACAUUGGAGGUGGAAGAAAUAAGAGUGGAAGAAUGAACAGAGGUUAAAGAAUAGAGGAGUUGGAUAGUAUUCUCCAUUCAAACUCUGCUUUUAUUCAAUAAGAAAUAUCAAUAUACAAGCGCUGAAUGCAGUAGCUAAAUUUAUUCUAAAACAAACAAAGCUUGAAAUACCAAGAAGAAACGUCGGAUCAAAAAUGUUUCUUUUUGAUGUUUUGGACUUUUAGAAUAAAUUUAGUUGCUGUAUUUGGUGCUUGUGUAUUGAUAUUUUGAGUUGGAUGGUUAUCAACCCCUGUAGUUGUGAAAUUUUUGGCUGUGUGAUAGACUAGCUUGCUAUCAUUCUAAUAAAUUAAACUUUAAACAUCAAAAUAAAAAAACCAGAAUUGUUGUCUAGAAUACUUUAAAUUAACAGAUUUUUAUUAUUAUAUUGUUUAUAUAUUAAUCAGGAGUAUUUUAACUUUAAUAUGCUACAUUGAUGUCAUAUGC
rnacentral:lncRNA from 1 species